rnacentral:lncRNA from 1 species
GGUUGGGGGUUGUGGAAAAGGUAUAUAAAGGGCAAUAAAGUGGGAAGAGGGCCCCCUCCUCCGCCUCUCUCUCCUUUUUCUUUUCCUCAGAGGUUUUGUUUUUCUUUCAUCCUCUCCCCUCCUCUCAGGUACUGUUCGACUAGUGACGGCUGGCACCGUCACAAGUGGCGCCCGAACAGGGACCUGAGCACGGAGGACAAGGUGAAGGACGCCGCCGGAUUGUGAGCUCGGAUAAACAGUCACCAAUAACAGGAUCAUACCAUGGGCCAGAUGUAGAGUGGACCGGCUAGCCAUCUAUAAUUUCACUGAUCAACAAGAAGUGCUACAGGAUUGGAGUGCCCAAUUGGACAAUUGUCAAGUGUGUUCGAUCCAUGUUCUCAAUGAUGGCUGUCCAGUUGCAUUAUCAGAGACUGAUCACCCCUAAGCAAGAGGCCGGUUAGUCAAUGACGGGUUUGAGACCAGGAGAAUCUCUUACCAACCUAAGACAGGGAAGUUUCUCUUCCCAAUGACGGGUAAGGUAGGAUUCUGUCCUAGGAUCUCACCUAAGACAGGCACGGUCAUCUAAUAAAAAAGGGGGAGUUGUGGAGAGCGAAAGGUUGAAAUAACCUUCAGAGACCUCUGAGUCUCUUGAGAACAUAAUGAAUCCUGGAUAUGCAGCUGGCACAAAACCAAGGAUGGUUACUUGUAACGAGAGUGGUUAAAUAGAAAGAGUUCGAGUGUCUGUAAUGCAAGGGAACGUCAUUCCCGGAGUUGUAAGGAUACAUUUGACCUUUUCCCUGGAAAAUAAUUAGUCGCCCGAAUUAUGUGCUGAGGAGGGGUUGGGGGUUGUGGAAAAGGUAUAUAAAGGGCAAUAAAGUGGGAAGAGGGGUCUCUCCUCCGCCUCUCCUUUUUCUUUUCCUCAGAGGUUUUGUUUUUCUUUCAUCCUCUCCUCCUCUCAG